UACGUAGGCAGCAAGCGUUGUUCGGAGUUACUGGGCGUAAAGGGUGUGUAGGCGGUUGUUUAAGUUUGGUGUGAAAUCUCCCCGGCUCAACCGGGAGGGUGCGCCGAAUACUGAGUGACUAGAGUGCGGGAGAGGAAAGUGGAAUUCCUGGUGUAGCGGUGAAAUGCGUAGAUAUCAGGAGGAACACCGGUGGUGUAGACGGCUUUCUGGACCGUAACUGACGCUGAGACACGAAAGCGUGGGUAGCAAACAGG
rnacentral:rRNA from 1 species